CUAGCAACAACGUCGAUAUCAUUAAGCUCGACGCUGCAACCAAUAGCAACACGGUUCUCGUCCCAAAUAUAUCAGCUACAGAGGCGGACCACCCCUCGGGAAAGUACUCAAAUUCACGUUUGCUCAAGAAUACGGUCGAAACGGAUGCUCUGAAGAGGUGGCAAUUGUAGAAACGCUUUCCAAGCGAUUGGAGGACGAGCUAAGGUUAGCAAGGAAGGAAAAUUUCCUUGAAGAGAUCCUUCUGCCUCACGGCCUUACACUGGACAUCGCCAAGAGGUGUUCCAAAUGGCGGAGUUAGAGCCUUGUGGACUGAGGGGUUGCAUCCUCUACAUCGAAUUCGAAUUGAAAGAUGAAAAGAGGAAAAUCUGUAGCAUAAAGUGCGACCUUUCGAUACCACCAACAUUCGAGCUUCACCUCAUCUUCAGACAGGCUGUGAAUGGUUGGAAUGUGUUUCUGC